UCGGACGAAUGAGUGGAUGCAUCAGUUCUUACGUCUCAGGUCGACUCUCUUUAAAUAGCCUGAUGUUUAAGUUCUGUGAACGUUUUGAAUUCAUGACUUGACUCCAUAUAAUCAGGAUGUUGUGCUCAACUUAUUGAAAUGGUUUGCUCAUUACCAGAGUAUCCGACAGCUUUUAAAUGCUCGGGCUGUUAAAGGCUGCAAGCUGUCAAUGGACGGACACGAAGGUCCAGCCUGUUCUCGUGUCAGGAUGUUUGACUUUGGCAUAGAGUCACAUGCAUCCACGGAGACUAAUAAGCAGGGAUCAUGUAGCGAAUGUGCUUUUAAAAAACGACUCGGUAUUAUUGCUACUUGUGUCGUCGGAGGGUCAUUGGUCGCUCUGAAUGCAGUAACUGGACCGUUUGUUGCACCAGCCCUGAGUAAAGUUUGUCUCCCAUUCGUUCAGCUACAAGGACACAAACUGAAAACGUCCUUAAGGUUUUGCAAACCAGAUCAGGGUCCUUGGUGGAUAUCGGCAGCAGAGAUGGACAGAUAGUUAUAGCUGCAGCAAAAAGAGGCUUUAAGGCAGUUGGCUUUGAGCUGAACACAUGGCUGGUCUGGUAUUCCCGUUACAAAGCGUGGAGGGAAGGUGUUCAUCACAGCACAUCUUUUUAUAUUCAGACCUUUGAAAGGUGAGUACAACAUAAGCUGACAAAGUUCGGGUCAAUGUGGAUCUCCUUUCAUGUUGUCUUAAACCAUUGCAGAUCAAUAUAAUCUGUAUGAAAGUAUGAUGCAUGUGCUAUUUGUCAUGAGUCUCUCAGAAUGUCCUUCUAUAAUAGGUCAGUUUUUCGGAGUACUUCAAUGUGGUCAUUUUUGGGGUUCCUCAAAUGAUGGAGCAGCUUGAAGUUAACCUCUGAACAGAGCUGCAAUGAUCAGCUAAAGUAGUAGCUUGUCACUUUCCGUUUCCUACUUGGACACCCGAUGACGUAGCUGGCAAGGGAAUUGAUACUGUGUGGGUUUAUGAUGCAAAGACAUUUAAACCUCUCAAAACAAAGAAAAAAGACUGAAAGACUAGGCUGUAAUGAAAGAGGAUACAGUAACAAAUGCUGCUUCUAGAGCACCGAUGCACUGUCAAACAUUUUGUCUUUGAUAAAUAUACUAGUUGUAAAACUCAUCUGACUGAUUUAUUUUUGUUGCCUGAUGUAUUUUAUUCUAUGCUUAUGUCCCUUUGUUUUAGUAAAGAUAAUAAGAACCAAA